UACGUAGGGUGCGAGCGUUAAUCGGAAUUACUGGGCGUAAAGCGUGCGCAGGCGGUUUUGUAAGCCAGAUGUGAAAUCCCCGGGCUUAACCUGGGAAUGGCAUUUGGGACUGCAAGGCUGGAGUUUGGCAGAGGAGACUGGAAUUCCCGGUGUAGCAGUGAAAUGCGUAGAUAUCGGGAGGAAUACCGAUGGCGAAGGCAGGUCUCUGGGCUAUAACUGACGCUCAUGCACGAAAGCGUGGGAGCAAACAGG
rnacentral:rRNA from 1 species